CGGCCGCCCUGCUGGCCACCAUGCUCAGAGCCGCCUACCCGCAGGUCAGGUGCUACGCCUUCUCCCCGCCCCGGGGGCUGUGGAGCAAAGCUCUGCAUGAAUACUCUCAGAGCUUCAUCGUGUCGCUCGUCCUGGGGAAGGAUGUGAUUCCCAGGCUCAGUGUGACCAACUUGGAAGAUCUGAAGAGAAGAAUCUUGCGAGUGGUCGCGCACUGCAAUAAACCCAAGGUAAGCGGGUGCCUUGUCGAGAGGGUCUGCAGGACACGGGGCCUGUCCCUGAGAUCCUGUGGAGAGCCGGGAAGAAUUGCACCCUCAGUGCAGGACACUCUGUGCUGUUGCUGGAAGUUCUCCUUCCACCCUCUGAUCAGAUUCUGGGCUAGGACUCUGUGAUGUCUAAGAAAGCAAAUGGCUGCAAGUGCGGGAAAU
rnacentral:sRNA from 1 species